rnacentral:rRNA from 1 species
AUUGAACGCUGGCGGCAGGCUUAACACAUGCAAGUCGAGCGGAGAUGAGGUGCUUGCACCUUAUCUUAGCGGCGGACGGGUGAGUAAUGCUUAGGAAUCUGCCUAUUAGUGGGGGACAACAUUCCGAAAGGAAUGCUAAUACCGCAUACGCCCUACGGGGGAAAGCAGGGGAUCUUCGGACCUUGCGCUAAUAGAUGAGCCUAAGUCGGAUUAGCUAGUUGGUGGGGUAAAGGCCUAGCAAGGCGACGAUCUGUAGCGGGUCGGAGAGGAUGAUCCACCACACUGGGACUGGAACACGGCCCAGACUCCUACGGGAGGCAGCAGUGGGGAAUAUUGGACAAUGGGCGGAAGCCUGAUCCAGCCAUGCCGCGUGUGUGAAGAAGGCCUUUUGGUUGUAAAGCACUUUAAGCGAGGAGGAGGCUACCUGGAUUAAUACUCUAGGAUAGUGGACGUUACUCGCAGAAUAAGCACCGGCUAACUCUGUGCCAGCCGCCGCUGUAAUAC